AGCUGGUGUUGUGAAUCAGGCUGAAGCCGCAGUGCUCCAAACACUGGCCGUUUCACCACGCCAGCCCA
rnacentral:pre_miRNA from 1 species